CCAAAUCUCCGUCUGUCCCCGGUCACGGAUGCCCAGUUUUCUCCUUAUGUUGGUGGAAUGGCCUUCUCUCCUACUUCAUCACCCGGAUACAGCCCAUCAUCACCAGGCUACAGUCCGUCAUCUCCUGGAUACAGUCCCACGUCACCUGGAUACAGCCCAACUUCGCCUGGAUACAGUCCCACCUCGCCUGGAUAUAGCCCUACCUCACCAACUUAUAGUCCAAGUUCUCCUGGUUAUAGUCCAACCAGUCCUGCCUAUUCUCCUACCAGUCCAUCGUACUCACCUACUUCACCAAGCUAUAGCCCAACCUCCCCAAGUUACAGCCCAACAUCCCCAAGCUACAGCCCGACCUCUCCAAGUUACAGCCCCACUUCUCCCAGUUACAGUCCAACUUCACCAAGCUAUAGCCCCACCUCACCGGCAUAUAGCCCCACCUCACCUGCAUAUAGCCCCACCUCACCUGCAUACAGCCCCACUUCACCAUCGUACAGCCCAACCUCUCCUUCCUACAGCCCAACAUCACCUUCGUACAGCCCUACCUCACCGUCAUACAGCCCCACUUCUCCAUCGUACAGCCCCACUUCACCAGCCUAUAGCCCCACUUCUCCUGGUUAUAGUCCAACUUCACCAAGUUAUAGCCCAACUUCACCAACCUAUAGUCCUACAUCCCCAAGCUACAAUCCUCAGUCUGCCAAAUACAGUCCGUCGCUGGCCUACUCACCAAGUAGUCCAAGAUUAUCUCCUGCCAGUCCGUACAGCCCUACAUCUCCAAAUUACAGGUAAGCCAUAGUGCGAUAUGUGGUCAAGUCUAAUGUUUGUGUUAAAAGCUGUAUCCAAUUUAUUAGGUCUUGUUUUUGAUAGAAUUCUAUAUACUGAAAUAUCUGUUGAACCUAAGACUUGCUGUAGCUGGGGAUUGGACUUGGAUGGGUUUAAAUUAUUAAUGAUUUUAUCUCUGUUGUUUUUAACAUUAUUAUAUCUGGAUGAUUAUGUUGAUGUAUCUUGUAAGCAACUUUUCUUUUUACGCAGUCCAACAUCAUCUUCGUAUUCACCGACAUCUCCCUCUAUGAUACUGGACCAAUGAUGAGAUGUUCAUUUGAAGAAACGGUUGACAUUCUUCUUGAUGCUGCAGUCUUUGCAGAAUCAGAUUAUUUGAGGGGGGUCACUGAGAAUAUAAUGUUAGGUCAGCUUGCGCCUAUUGGGACAGGAGACUGUUCAUUGUAUCUCAAUGAUGAGAUGCUGAAAAAUGCCAUCGAACUUCAGCUUCCUAGUUAUAUGGAAGGUCUGGAGUUUGGCAUGACACCUGCUCGUUCUCCGGUGUCUGGGACUCCUUAUCAUGAUGGCAUGAUGUCUCCAGGUUACUUGUUUAGCCCAAAUCUCCGUCUGUCCCCGGUCACGGAUGCCCAGUUUUCUCCUUAUGUUGGUGGAAUGGCCUUCUCUCCUACUUCAUCACCCGGAUACAGCCCAUCAUCACCAGGCUACAGUCCGUCAUCUCCUGGAUACAGUCCCACGUCACCUGGAUACAGCCCAACUUCGCCUGGAUACAGUCCCACCUCGCCUGGAUAUAGCCCUACCUCACCAACUUAUAGUCCAAGUUCUCCUGGUUAUAGUCCAACCAGUCCUGCCUAUUCUCCUACCAGUCCAUCGUACUCACCUACUUCACCAAGCUAUAGCCCAACCUCCCCAAGUUACAGCCCAACAUCCCCAAGCUACAGCCCGACCUCUCCAAGUUACAGCCCCACUUCUCCCAGUUACAGUCCAACUUCACCAAGCUAUAGCCCCACCUCACCGGCAUAUAGCCCCACCUCACCUGCAUAUAGCCCCACCUCACCUGCAUACAGCCCCACUUCACCAUCGUACAGCCCAACCUCUCCUUCCUACAGCCCAACAUCACCUUCGUACAGCCCUACCUCACCGUCAUACAGCCCCACUUCUCCAUCGUACAGCCCCACUUCACCAGCCUAUAGCCCCACUUCUCCUGGUUAUAGUCCAACUUCACCAAGUUAUAGCCCAACUUCACCAACCUAUAGUCCUACAUCCCCAAGCUACAAUCCUCAGUCUGCCAAAUACAGUCCGUCGCUGGCCUACUCACCAAGUAGUCCAAGAUUAUCUCCUGCCAGUCCGUACAGCCCUACAUCUCCAAAUUACAGGUAAGCCAUAGUGCGAUAUGUGGUCAAGUCUAAUGUUUGUGUUAAAAGCUGUAUCCAAUUUAUUAGGUCUUGUUUUUGAUAGAAUUCUAUAUACUGAAAUAUCUGUUGAACCUAAGACUUGCUGUAGCUGGGGAUUGGACUUGGAUGGGUUUAAAUUAUUAAUGAUUUUAUCUCUGUUGUUUUUAACAUUAUUAUAUCUGGAUGAUUAUGUU
rnacentral:lncRNA from 1 species